rnacentral:lncRNA from 1 species
AUCAAAUAACAGAUCGAAUAUGUUUUAUCCUUAAAAACAAAUUACACUCCAAUCACACAUCCAAGGUCGACAUAAUGAACACACCUACUUCAUAUAGGGCUACGAAGCCCUUGGAACAGUUAUUAUAUCAUGAUCAGAUAUUUCAUGUGUGUCUAGUGUGCAUAUUAACGGCAUGUGGAUUCCUAUAUAUCAGAUUAUCGGAAAAACAUUUUCUAUGGUUGGUAUUGAACUACAUCGUCUGUGUUAUGCUAGUUUUAUUUGGUUUUAAAAUUGGUUACGCAUUGUGCAAAUCUGAAAUCAGAAAAGAAUCUGCUGAAAUGGAGGAAAGCCGUGAGAUAGUGCGAGAAAUCCGCCAGUCUUUGAAUGAAAUGAAACGUGAGUAUAACAGUUAACCUUAACUGACCCAAACAAAAGAUGUAAGAGUCUUAUUAAAAAUAUUGAUCUCGAGUCUUUAAAAGUCAUGCAUUCUUCAUUGUGGUAAAAGGUAAAAUCACAAAAAUACUGAACUCAGAGGAAAAUCAAUUCGGAAAGUCCAUAAUCACAUGGCAAAAUCAAAUAACAAAACGCAUUAAAAACGAAUGGACAAGAACUGUCAUAUUCCUGACUUGGUACAGGCAUUUUCAAAUGUAAAAAAUGGUGGAUUGAACCUGGUUUUAAAGCUAGCUAAACCUCUCACUUGUAUGACAGUCGCAUCAAAUUCCAUUAUAUUGACAACGAUGUGUAAACAAAACAAACAAAAACAAUAGGCAAAAAUGUCACAAAUAGGGGUAAAUAGUCUAAAUCGGUAGGUCACAUUCGUGAAAAGGGAACGGGAUUGUAGUUACGUAAGUGUCAUCCUUCAAGAGAAAUUCUUUGCAUGUGAUUUAAUCCUGAUCGAUCGGUGGUAUCCCGAUUAUGUGCAUGUGGAUAUAAUGAACUCUCACACAACAAAAUAAAAUACACUGCAACAAGGUUUAUAUCGGUCAACACGAAACGAACAGUAGUACUAUUGUGUGACAAAAUAGUAAAAAAAACAGUGUUGUAAUUUGAAUUAAAACGUUCAAAUUUAAUAUUUUUUUGUAUUUUUACGUUAUCAAUGAAUUUUUUUAUAAACAUUUUAAAUAAUGAAAACAAAAUCUACUGAAAAUUAAAAGAGACAUUUUACAAAGAAAUAAAUGAAUUUAAUAUAGUGUAUAUAAAUGUAUACGCCUAUAUAAAUCCUGUUAACAUUAUUUCUUUUAUUCUUCAGAUAACCAUGAUGACUGAAAUACAAAGGGACAAAAUAAAGACAUCAGUUGUUCCGGUAUUUCUUUUUGUUUAUAUAGAAAAUAUUUAUUCUUGUAUAUCUGUAAAAAUCGUAUAUAUUCAUUCCAUGUUAUGUAAUUCUUCAAGAAAAAAACAG